CACGUAGGGGGCGAGCGUUGUCCAGAUUUAUUGGGCGUAAAGAGCUCGUAGGCGGCUCAGUAAGUCGGGUGUGAAACCUCCAGGCUCAACCUGGAGACGCCACCUGAUACUGCUGUGGCUUGAGUCCGGUAGGGGAGCGUGGAAUUCCUGGUGUAGCGGUGAAAUGCGCAGAUAUCAGGAGGAACACCAGCGGCGAAGGCGGCGCUCUGGGCCGGUACUGACGCUGAGGAGCGAAAGCGUGGGUAGCAAACAGG
rnacentral:rRNA from 1 species